UACAGAGGUCUCAAGCGUUGUUCGGAUUCAUUGGGCGUAAAGGGUGUGUAGGUGGCGCCGUAAGUCGGGUGUGAAAUUUCGGAGCUUAACUCCGAAACUGCAUUCGAUACUGCGGUGCUUGAGGACUGGAGAGGAGACUGGAAUUCAUGGUGUAGCAGUGAAAUGCGUAGAGAUCAUGAGGAAGACCAGUGGCGAAGGCGGGUCUCUGGACAGUUCCUGACACU
rnacentral:rRNA from 1 species